GUGGGGGUGGCAGAAUCAAUGCGUCAGACUUAAGCUUUGAAGAUGGAAUUUAAUUCCUCCCCACU
rnacentral:tRNA from 1 species